rnacentral:rRNA from 1 species
AUUGAACGCUGGCGGCAGGCCUAACACAUGCAAGUCGAGCGGAUGAAGGGAGCUUGCUCCUGGAUUCAGCGGCGGACGGGUGAGUAAUGCCUAGGAAUCUGCCUGGUAGUGGGGGAUAACGUCCGGAAACGGGCGCUAAUACCGCAUACGUCCUGAGGGAGAAAGUGGGGGAUCUUCGGACCUCACGCUAUCAGAUGAGCCUAGGUCGGAUUAGCUAGUUGGUGGGGUAAAGGCCUACCAAGGCGACGAUCCGUAACUGGUCUGAGAGGAUGAUCAGUCACACGUGAACUGAGACACGGUCCAGACUACUACGGGAGGCAGCAGUGGGGAAUAUUGGACAAUGGGCGAAAGCCUGAUCCAGCCAUGCCGCGUGUGUGAAGAAGGUCUUCGGAUUGUAAAGCACUUUAAGUUGGGAGGAAGGGCAGUAAGUUAAUACCUUGCUGUUUUGACGUUACCAACAGAAUAAGCACCGGCUAACUUCGUG